rnacentral:misc_RNA from 1 species
CGGAAGCGAGCCAGCGGGAACCAGUGCGAACCGGAUAUCGUCGAAAUUCUGGGGACGAGAUUCGCGCCGCCUGGCACACCGUGGCGUCGCGACGCUCCUGUGAUCGAACGAUGACGUCUAACGUCGCUAGUCUUUUCGACUGCCCGAUGACGUAUUUCGAGAACCUCUGACGUACUCGUCUAAAAUGAACGGAAGUUGCAUCGUUCCGAGCACCGCUCCUCGUUCCGUUUCACCGCUCGAUCUCGUUCUCAAUGAUCUUCGUUCAAUUCACCAUCGUCGAUCUUACGACCUCUCAAUUAGGAUUGGAAUCGAUCAGUCGAUUCAAGGAUUAUAUACGAACUGUGUAACGUUUCAAUAAGAGUGUGGUAUUAUUUCUCGAAACAAUAGAUGCGUGGAAAGUAAGAUCGAUCGAGGCACGGACUAAACGAAAGUAGCAAAAAUUCUGCGCGAAGACUGACAUCCGUGGUCGGAUACCCGGCCUGUGCAAAGCACAAAUACGAAAGCGCAGGCUUGGCACGAGAUAAAUGUGGGUUGCUGGAGCACAACGGCUACAAACAUACUGUUCCCUCGAACUGAUGAAUGGAUAUAAUCCGAACAAUUUAUCAGACGCUGGACUUCAACCGACAGGUUAAAAUGUUUGAAAUUAAAACCACCGCUUUAAUGAGCUUCUGCACGUUUCUGGAUCCAAGAUAUACCUAUCACUUUGACGAUUAUAUGUAUAUCCUAUAAUAAGUAUAAAUACACAUAAUCUAAAUAUCUCUAAUUUCGUGCAACUUUCAAAUUAUAUAAUUUAUCUGUUUGCGCCUUAAAAAUUACUUAUACGUUUGUUACUAUACUAUUAUUUUACCAUUAACUGAUCCAAGUAUUAUUGUAACAAUCAUCUUCCUUUCUCCUAGGGUAAAAGGCUGAACAUUUUUUAUCUGAAGUGAAAGAAAAAUGCAGUUAUAGGAAGCUAAUAAUUUCCAUACACCUGUAUCUCUAUCUGCAAUACAAAUCAAAUCAUAGAAACGAUCAUUCAUAUUCUUAUCGUUUAUACUAUUCUGUUAUAUUGUACAAACUGAUCUAAUUAUAACAGUCCUUAUUAGCUUUUAUACCAUAGUGACAAAUUAUACAUUUUUUUAUCCGACAAACAAAGGAAAAUUUGAUUAUAGUGAGUCAACAACUUCGACACUUGUCUAUUUGCAAUAUACAGUCAAAUUGCUAGGGACAGUCGAUCGUAUCUUGAAAUUAAUUCCUGACAGCUGAAUUGAUCUAUCUUCAAUCAUCGAUUGACUCGUAUCCUCUAAUCCUAGCUAUUGUUUAAUAUCAAAUACCAAAAAAG